UGGGGAAUAUUGGACAAUGGGCGAAAGCCUGAUCCAGCAAUGCCGCGUGUGUGAAGAAGGCCUGCGGGUUGUAAAGCACUUUCGGUUGGGAAGAAAUGCCUCGUGUUAAUACCUAGAGGCUUUGACACUACCUUCAGAAGAAGCACCGGCUAACUCCGUGCCAGCAGCCGCGGUAAUACGGAGGGUGCGAGCGUUAAUCGGAAUUACUGGGCGUAAAGCGCGCGUAGGCGGCUGGGUAAGUCGGAUGUGAAAGCCCUGGGCUUAACCUGGGAAUGGCAUUCGAUACUGCCCGACUAGAGUAUGGUAGAGGAAAGCGGAAUUCCCGGUGUAGCGGUGAAAUGCGUAGAUAUCGGGAGGAACAUCAGUGGCGAAGGCGGCUUUCUGGACCAAUACUGACGCUGAGGCGCGAAAGCGUGGGUAGCAAACAGG
rnacentral:rRNA from 1 species